rnacentral:tRNA from 1 species
GCGGACGUGGUGGAACUGGUAGACACAAGGGACUUAAAAUCCCUCGGCCCCGGCCAUGCGGGUUCGAGUCCCGCCGUCCGCA